rnacentral:lncRNA from 1 species
CCACCCUCCCUCUGGUGUAUUGCUUCGAGUUACUAAAUCAUACCGCUUGUUAUAAAAUAAUUCCAACAGAGUAAGAACAUCUUCCCCGCCCCCUCCCCCCGGCUCUGUACGCGUGCAUGCUGUCGGGCUCCCCCAGAGAGGGGUCCUGGUACAGGGCUGGCACACAUCCAUUCAGGAUCGUCUGGCUGUGUCUGUCUUUUGCCCUGAGCCUCAGUGUCCCUCUCUGUAAAAUGGGGGCAAUGAUUUCUGCACGUGUGGUUACAAGAGUUAAGUGUGCUUAACAGGGGAGAGCGUCCCAGUACUGAAGACGGCCCUGCCAGAGGGGCCUGCGCCCUACUGCCCAGACACCCACCGGCGGCACACGCUCUUCUGUGGGACCCUCGUCCUGCAGGCGCGGGCCUUUGUGGGACCCCAUGUCCUGGCAGUGGUGACUCGAACAGGGUUCUGCACAGCAAAAGGGGGCCUGGUGAGCUCCAUCUUGCAUCCCCGGCCCAUCAACUUCAAGUUCUACAAACACAGCAUGAAGUUCGUGGCUGCUCUCUCUGUCCUGGCUCUCCUCGGCACUGUCUACAGCAUCUUCAUCCUCCACCGCAAGA